rnacentral:rRNA from 1 species
AGAGUUUGAUCCUGGCUCAGAACGAACGCUGGCGGUGCGUCUUAAGCAUGCAAGUCGAACGGGAUUCAGCAGCUUGCUGUUGAUGAGAGUGGCGGACUGGUGAGUAACACGUGGGUGACAUACCCUCCUGACGGGGAUAGCCUUUAGAAAUAAGGGGUAAUACCGGAUACGCACGUACAGGUUAGAGGUGUACGUGGAAAGGGAGCUUCGGCUCCGCGGGAGGAAUGGCUUGCGGCCCAUUAGCUGGUUGGUGUGGUAACGGCGCACCAAGGCGAUGAUGGGUAUCCGGCCUGAGAGGGUGAACGGACACAUUGGGACUGAGAUACGGCCCAGACUCCUACGGGAGGCAGCAGCUAAGAAUAUUCCGCAAUGGACGGAAGUCUGACGGAGCGACACCGCGUGAAUGAAGAAGGCCGGAAGGUUGUAAAGUGCUUUUGAAUGUGAAGAAUAAGCAGGUCAGGUAAUGGGCGUGCGGUGACGGUAGCAUUUGAAUAAGAGGCGGCUAAUUACGUGCCAGCAGCCGCGGUAACACGUAAGCCUCGAGCGUUGUUCGGAAUUAUUGGGCGUAAAGGGUAUGUAGGCGGAGCUGAAAGCCUGUCGUGAAAUGCAGAAGCUUAACUUCUGAGCUGCGAUGGGAACUUCAGUUCUGGAAUCACUGAAGGGCAGCCGGAAUUCCAGGUGUAGGGGUGAAAUCUGUAGAUAUCUGGAAGAACACCGAUGGCGAAGGCAGGCUGCUGGCAGAUGAUUGACGCUGAGGUACGAGAGUGCGGGUAGCGAACAGGAUUAGAUACCCUGGUAGUCCGCACAGUAAACGAUGCACACUAGGUGUAGGGGCAGAAGUCUCUGUGCCGGAGCGAACGUGAUAAGUGUGCCGCCUGGGGAGUACGACCGCAAGGUUGAAACUCAAAGGAAUUGACGGGGGCCCGCACAAGCGGAGGAACAUGUGGUUUAAUUCGAUGAUACGCGAGGAACCUUACCCGGGCUCGAACGGCUGGUGAAGAGAUCCAGAGAUGGUGACGUCCUUCGGGACACCAGUCGAGGUGCUGCAUGGUUGUCGUCAGCUCGUGCCGUGAGGUGUCGGCUCAAGUGCCAUAACGAGCGCAACCCUUGCCGUCAGUUACCAGCACGCAAAGGUGGGGACUCUGACGGGACUGCCACCGCAAGGUGUGAGGAGGGGGGGGAUGACGUCAAAUCAGCACGGCCCUUACGUCCGGGGCGACACACGUGUUACAAUGGGGGUUACAGCGGGGGACUACCUGGUGACAGGAUGGGAAUCUCGAAAAGCCCUCUCAGUUCGGAUCGGAGUCUGCAACCCGACUCCGUGAAGCUGGAUUCGCUAGUAAUCGCGCAUCAGCCAUGGCGCGGUGAAUACGUUCCCGGGCCUUGCACUCACCGCCCGUCA